AAAAUACUGGACACAUUGUGAAGUGAUCAGCUUAAAGGCAGAACUCAGCAACGGAAGUAGUCAUCGACUAAUAAUCGCUCAGUCAAAUUAGAAACGUCCCGUCUUCUGUUAUGGAAUCUGAAGUUUUUUAAGGUUGUUGCGGGAAAAUGCCCUGUAUUUAUAAAAAUAUGAGGCAAAUGCUAUAUGAUGGAUGUGAGCUGUUGCCCUAUCAUUCUAUGAGAAUAACAUGAACCAAAAAUAUAUUUAAAAAGAAUGUAAUGUUAUUACAAUAUUCAAACACAGAUUUUUAUGUCCUUAUUGAAAAUUAACCUGGUAGAUAUGCUUUUGAGCAGCUCUUGCAUGGAGCUACUGUAUAAAUACAUUCUCAAUAUUUAAGAAUACCAGGUGAUUAAAAAAUUGACAGAUUAACAAAUGAUAUAUAUGGGACAGAUUCAGAAUUCAGAAUCUGUUGGUGCUAUCCUUUGUUUAUUUGUCAAAUUGAUGUAUAAUGGUCUACUGAGGGUUUACUGUAUAUAUGAACCUAAAGACAAGAAUCUUCAAAGACUCAUGCUGCCAUACGAACAAGUAAAGAAAUAAAAGAAUAUUUCUGGUUAUGUUGCACUUCAAGAACAGCAUUAAAUGUCCAGGAAAUAUGGCACAUUUAUUUGAAAACACUAGUUGUCAUGUGUUAAACUCUAUUUUAUUGUUUGUAACAUUGUCAAUUUGAUAUAACUAGUUUUGAACACCAUGCUCAUACAUAUACAUACAUAUCAUGAUAAUGAUACUACAGGGUGGGUAGGAAGUAAGUAGGCAUUGAGAAAUGGUUAUAACCUCUAUAUUUCCAAUGCAAAUAUAUUAUUUAAUGCCUACUUACUUCCCAUCCACAAUCUAAGCAAUAAUAUACAACUUACUUUAUCUUUUUGAAAUAAAUACAAACAUCUACUUUCCUUCAGUCUGCAUGACGAAAUAUGUGCACCUAUUCAGGUACUAUCUUUGACUAUAUGGUUAAAUCAGAGAUUGUAUAGUAUUUCAUUUUCCAGUUAUUAAAUAAAUAAAACAACUGAAGACCAUAAAUAUCUGCUGAAACCAUGCAGGUAUGAAGGACACACUAAAUUGUUAUUACUGAUAAAAUUUGAUUAUAUUCACAAAAACUAAUAAAGAAAAACUUUUUGCCAAGGGUAUGCCUAAUGUCAAGAUAUCUUACAAAUUAUAGGGUUAAGCCAUUACAGAAUGUUCACUCUGUACACAUGAAGUAUACAUAACAGCAGUUGACAAUCUUCAUUUAUGAAGACUGAUCUGAAAUGACCUGCAUUUCAAAAUAUGUCCUGUCAUGUAUUUUACAUCUAUUCUGCAGUACCAACAUGCGUGUUUGCAAUAACUGAACAUAUUGUUGAGAGAGUAACAAAAUAAUUUAUACUGCUUUAUAAAAAUAAUGCUGAGUUUAUGGUUUUUAUAUCAGCAGUAGCAUAAAACUGUUCAACAAAAUUUCACAUUCAUUUCUCAGUGAACAUCAACAGUUGCAUCUAUUAACAUUAUAAUCCUGUGUGAAGUGAUACCUGAAUUUUUGAUAAUGUGGUCUAAAUAAAUUCCAUAAAUGCAUCCAAUUAA